GUAUCAGAUUAGCUCCCGAGAGCCAGAAGCUGUUUGCCUUUCAGUGGGAAGAUCCGGAGUCAGGUAUCACUACUCAGUACACUUGGACCCGGCUUCCCCAAGGGUUCCAGAGCUCCCCCACCAUCUUCAGGGAGGCGUUGGCUACAGACCUCCAGAAGCUUCCCACCAGAGACCUAGGCUGCGUGUUGCUCCAGUACGUUGAUGACCUUUUGCUGAGACACCCCACGGCAGUCAGGUGCGCCAAGGGAACGGAUGCCCUACUCCAGCGCCUGGAGGACUGUGGGUAUAAGGUGUCCAAGAAAAAAGCUGAGAUCUGUCGACAGCAGGUACGUUACUUGGGAUUUACUAUCCGACACGGGGAAUGCAGCCUGGGAUCAGAAAGAAAGCAGGUCAUUUGCAAUCUACUGGAGCCUAAGAGCAGAAGGCAAGUGAGAGAAUUCUUAGGAGCUGUGGGGUUUUGUAGACUGUGGAUCCCAAACUUUGCAGUAUUAGCCAAGCCUUUGUAUGAGGUCACAAAGUGGGGGACCGGGAACCUUUUGAAUGGGGAUCUCAACAACAGCAAGCCUUUCAUGAGUUAAAGGAAAAAACUUAUGUCAGCCCCAGCCCUGGGGCUACCCGAUCUGACAAAGCCUUUUACAUUGUAUGUGUCAGAGAGAGAAAAGAUGGCAGUUGGAGUUUUCAUCCAAACUGUGGGGCCCUGGCCGAGGCCAGUGGCCUACCUCUCUAAACAACUAGAUGGGGUUCCUAAAGGAUGGCCCCUGUGUUUGAGGGCCUUGGCAGCAACUGCCCUGCUAGUACAAGAAGCAAAUAAGCUGACUCUUGGGCAAAACCUGAACAUAAAGGCUCCCCAUGCUGUGUUGACUUUAAUGAAUACUAAAGGACAUCAUUGGCUAACGAAUGCUAGACUCACCAAGUACCAAAGUUUGCUCUGUGAAAAUCUCCGUAUAACCAUUGAAGUUUGGAACACCCUAAACCCCACCACCUUGCUCCCAGUAUCAGAGAGCCCUGUCGGGCAUGAUUGUGUAGAAGUGUUUGACUCAGUUGACUCUAGUAGAUCUGACCUCCGGGACCAGCCUUGGGCAUCAGUAGACUGGGAACUACACGUGGACGGGAGCAGCUUCAUCAACCUACAAGGAGAGAGAUGUGCAGGGUAUGCAGUGGUAACCCUGUACACUGUUGUUGAAGCCAGAUCGUUGCCCCAGGGCACUUCAGCCCAGAAAGCUGAACCCAUUGCUUUAAUUUGGGCCUUAGAACUCCAUGAAGGUAAGACUGUAAACAUUGACACUGAUUCUCGGUAUGCCUUUUUAACCCUUCAAGUGCAUGGAGCAUUAUAGAAAGAAAACGGCCUAUGGAACUCUGGGGGAAAAGACAUAAAAUAUCAACAAGAAAUCUUGCAAUUAUUAGAAGCAGUAUGGAAACCCCACAAGGUGGCAGGUAUGCAUUGCAGAGGACAUCAGCGAGCUUCCACCUUGCUGGGUUUGGGGAAUUCCCGCGCUGACUCAGAGGCUCGAAAAGCAGCAUCUGCCCCCUUCCGGCAAUCAGUCACAGCCACUCUGCUCCCUCAAGCACCUGAUCUUGUACCUACUUAUUCUAAAGAAGAAAAGGACUUUCUCCAGGUAGAGGGAAGGACAAGUGAUGGAGGAAGGAUGGAUUCGGUUACCAGAUGGGAGAGUAGCUGUGCCACAGCUGCUAGGAGCUGCAGUUGUACUGGCUGUGCAUGAAACCACCCAUCUAGGUCAGAGUCACUGGAAAAGUUGUUAGGCUGGUAUUUCUACAUCUCGCAUUUGUCAGCCCUUGCCAAAACGGUGACACAGCGGUGUGUUACCUGCUGACAGCACAAUGCGAGGCAAGGUCCAGCCGUUCCGCCCGGCAUAAAAGCUUAUGGAGCAGCCCCCUUUGAAGAUCUCCAGGUAGACUUCACAGAGAUGCCAAAGUGUGGAGGUCAGAAGUAUUUACUAGUUCUUGGGUGUACCUGCUCUGGGUGGGUGGAGGCUUAUCCAACACGAACUAAGAAAGCUCGUGAAGUAACCCGUGUGUUUCUUCGAGAUCUGAUUCCUAGAUUUGGACUGCCCUUACGGAUCAGCUCAGAUAACGGGCCUGCGUUUGUGGCUGACUUGGUACAGAAGACGGCGAAGGUAUCGGGCAUCACAUGGAAACGGCAUGCCGCGUACCAGCCUCAGAGUUCCGGAAAGGCUGUAGAUAAAGGGGUUGAGCAUGGAGGUGACCACCGUGUACAUCACUGCAGCCACUGCACCCUUUCUGGGGGAAGAUGACACAUCUGAACUGAGGUACCCUCCAACACCUCUUCCAUAAAAUCAGCAAACAACUGACAGAGAUCAUGCAGCGGGAGCCCACGAUCGGUUUAAUCAUCACUCACUUCCAUUGGAUCAACUACAAAUCAACUCAGAUGAGAGUGCUGAGUCUCAGAGGAUGGACAUCUCACCCCUUGCCAUACAGAUAAGUAGAAAGGAUGGUAUUCAAAAUUAAUGGCCAGACUCUAAGUCCCAGAUACUAUACUUCAUGGUCUUCCAACUCUCAAAAAGUUGUGGGAGUUUUUUUUUGUUUUUGUUUUUGUUUUUUUGAGACGGAGUCUCAUUCUGUUGCCCAGGCUGGAAGUGCAGUGGAGUGAUCUCAGCUCAUUGCAACCUCCGCAUCCCAGGUUCAAGCUAUUCUCCUGCCUCAGCCUGCUGAGCAGCUGAGAUUACAGGCGCCCGCCACUAUGCCCGACUAAUUUUUUUCUAUUUUUAGUAGAGACGGGGUUUCACCAUGUUGGCCAGGCUGGUCUCGAACACCUGAACUUGUGAUUCGCCUGCCUCAGCCUCCCAAAGUGCUGGGAUUACAGGCGUGAGCCACCGCGCCCAGCUUCAAAAAGUUUAAAGCAGAGCUCAGAGGUCUUAACCACAGGUACAUCUGAGGAGCAUUUUUGAAACAGUUUCCAGCUUCCUCAACAGGAAGAGAAGCCAAAUUCCGAAUUUAUGACUCCUUUGAGGAAGUCGAGAGCUGUAAGGAAAGCCAGGAACAGGGGCAAGGGAGAGAUGCAUCCCGAAUGAUCCUGUGCCAAUUCUUUCUGGAAUCUUUGAUGUGAUCUCAGCUGCCCUUUCUAUACUUGACACAGUGAUUGUGGCACCCACUGGUCUAGCUGUGGUCUACAAGGAACCCCCAAAAGGAAGGGCACAGUGAGCAGGGGCAUCGGCCUGAGUGACAAGGAUUUGAGAGGGCAGGUUGGAUGCAGGGAGAGGACUGGCCAAAUGCCAUGUGUCUGGACUUAGGCUGCCUGGUUCAAACUGGACUUCACCCUUUUUGACUUCAUGAUCUGGUACAAGUUAUAUGAAAAUGCAUUGCUCCUUUUCUAGUCUGUAAAAUAAUAAUGAAAUGUGCACUAAUAACUGGGAGACUACGCAGAGGAAAUGAAACAAGCUGCAUAGACCACAGAGCUCAGAGCCUGGCCUUUAGGAAGCCCUCAGUAAGGGUUCAUGAUGCCAUGGUGUCUGUCAUCAUCCUCUUUAUCCUCAUCAUCACCUUCAUAAUCUUUUUAUUGUUCUUAGAGAAUAGUUUAGAGGGACUCAUUCCCUGCUAUCAUGGGUGAGAUGUCUAUGAAAAGGACAACCAGUGGGGGAGGAAAGCAAAAUUUUGAAUAAGAUUUCUGAGACCGCCCCCCCCCGACCAUAACCAAGAACAGAAACUCCACAGUCUGCUGAGCCGACAGUUUGCACGUUGGUCUCCUCCCAUCUGCCCACCGCACUCUCCUGUUUUUUUCCUGAGGAUGAGGAUACAAAACAAGGCUCCCAACCGUCCCUCAGCACUCACUGAACUGCCCUUCCCCUCUGCUGGGCCAUGACCACGGAGAACAAGUCCACUGUCCUCCCUGCGUGGUGCACGAUGGAGGCUCAGACUCCAUCCUCAAGGCUGGCAAGAAGACAGGGUGAGACAUGAGCCUCCUGAUACAGGUGAUGGGUGUGGAGCCCACAGGACUGGAACCUCACACUGCAGGGCUGGAGGCACAGACUAUUUACUAUUCUAUGGCCUGGGGGGCUCAAGGCACAGAGCUCCUCAUUAGCCAAAGUCGCCCAAGUUCCCCAACCUUUAAGGAUUUCCUCAUAAUAAUGCAAGAAGAAGAAGAGAAAAGUGAGUGUCCAUAGAAGCUUUGGGGCUCUUCCUCUAAUCAGGAGAAAGCUGGUGUGUAUUAUUCACUUCUUUCUUUUCUUUUUAAAGAUCCAACUGCUUUAAUUUUAAUCUUUCAUUAUGGGAAAAUAUACCACAUAUAAAUAUUAAAAAUUAUAAAUAUAUAUUAUUUCAUAUAGAAUGGCC
rnacentral:lncRNA from 1 species